GCGGGCAUCGUAUAAUGGCUAUUACCUCAGCCUUCCAAGCUGAUGAUACGGGUUCGAUUCCCGUUGCCCGCUCCA
rnacentral:tRNA from 2 species